rnacentral:rRNA from 1 species
UCGAGCGGGCGUAGCAAUACGUCAGCGGCAGACGGUGAGUAACGCGUGGGAACGUGCCUUUUGGUUCGGAACAACACAGGGAAACUUGUGCUAAUACCGGAUAAGCCCUUACGGGGAAAGAUUUGUCGCCGAAAGAUCGGCCCGCGUCUGAUUAGCUAGUUGGUGAGGUAAUGGCUCACCAAGGCGACGAUCAGUAGCUGGUCUGAGAGGAUGAUCAGCCACAUUGGGACUGAGACACGGCCCAAACUCCUACGGGAGGCAGCAGUGGGGAAUAUUGGACAAUGGGCGCAAGCCUGAUCCAGCCAUGCCGCGUGAGUGAUGAAGGCCCUAGGGUUGUAAAGCUCUUUUGUGCGGGAAGAUAAUGACGGUACCGCAAGAAUAAGCCCCGGCUAACUUCGUGCCAGCAGCCGCG